rnacentral:lncRNA from 1 species
UAAUAUUAGCCUUUUAAAUUAACACAAACAGUUGCACAUAUUUGACUCUUUUGAUGUCUUAAUUUACACUAAUUAAAUAAUGGAUACCCUGUAAUUAGAAUAUUACAUUAUCAACUUGUUCACAGCUCUCCCUCUCUCUCUCUCUCUUCAACAUCAUAUCCCUUCCAUUUCAGCCUUCUCUCUCUCUCUCUCUUGUUGGUUGCGUAUGGAAUAGAGCUGUUUUAUAUAUUACAAGUCAGUCAGCGAAUUCCUCUCUAACUCUCUCUCUCUCUAAAGGACAAUUUUAUUCUGUUGUUCAAUUUCCAACUUGGUGAACUAGGUUUGGUUUCUUGAAGAAGUAGUACAAUAACCUUAAAUCAAGAGUGCAUGUUGUUUGCUUGUGUUUGGUGCAAAUGUGACAGCGGUGGUGGUGUCGAGUAGUAUGUGCAGCCACUACUUGUUGAAGAAGAAGAAGAAGAAGAGGAAGAUGGAGAAUUACCAGGGCGAUUUAACCGACAUAAUCAGAGCCACCGGCGGAGCAGAAACCCCCGCCGCCGCACCGGACUGGCACUUCCCCGCCAACCCGAUCACCUUCUCCACCAACCCGGCCGACGAUUUCGGUGAUCCCUUUGCGCACCUCAGAGAUCCGCUGAUCCAUAUCGAUGCACCGCCGCCGCUGCCAGGGUUCUUCCAUGGCUCCGACGUCAUCAAACCUAGUAGCGUCGAUGACAGCAAUCUAGGUCAUAAAAUUAUUGAUGAUGAGAUGAAGAGACCUCCGAAUAUCUUCUCGAGGAUGCUGCAGAUAUCUCCCUCGCCAAAGCUGCCGCUGCCGCUGCCGCUACCCUGCGAUUCUCCUGUCGUAGUUGCUCCGACAGGAUUAAAAGGUGUUGCUCCGAUGUUAGUGCCAAAUGAUCAUACCUUAAUUUCUCCGAGCAACUCCAGAGGUUGCUUGAUGGAGAGCAGUCUGCAGAUCUCAUCUCCGCGAAAUACGGGCAUCAGAAGAAGGUGGGCAUUUUCUUCUUAAUAUCCAAAUCAAAGUGAUUAAUUACCCAAUUAAUGACAACUCUGCAACCACCAUUGAAAUCUGCAAGACUUUGAUUAAUUAAGUCUUGUAUUUAUUGAGUUUUGGAGUCAUUACCUCUAAGCUUGUAUUUAACUCUGAGUAUNAAUGGUCCCACCAUUCUCUUUAAUAUUUUAUCCUUACUAACACUCUUUAUUUACAAAAAAAAUCACUCAAAAUUCAAUCUCAACCACUCAUCUCAUAAAGUGGUGGGACUCUUUCUCCACUACAUCAAAAUCAUCACCAAUUUUAUUAAAUCUCGUGCCCAAACAAAUUGCCAUAAUCUUAGCGGACGGAGGGAGUACUAUUUAAUAUUUAUAUUUUUUAUUAAAAAUAUUAUUUAAUUUUUAUAAUUGUCGUGGAUGACGCACUACUAGUAAUAAUAAUGUGUGCGUGUGUUGAUCUAAGGAUAAAUAUGUAAUGUACAGGGCUUGAGAUCCUGAGUUCGAGUUCACCGUCAUACGGUCUUUAAAUAUCUUUAUUUACUUGUGUAAUUUAAUAAUAAUAAUAAUAAUAAUAAUAAUAAUAAUAAUAAUAAUAAUAAUAAUAAUAAUAAUAAUAAAGGGUUACAUUAGAUCUUUUCGAAUUCUAGGAUAUACAUUUUCAAUUAGUAGAUUUUUCCCAAUUAUAGAAUAUACAUUAUCAAAAUAAAUGUGAAUACUUAUUGGAAACGAAGGUCCGAACGGAAGGGAGUACUUGGUUAGGGCCAAUGUUUUGAAACGUUCUCCGAUAAUUGCGGCUACUUGCCGCCUCCAUAGUUUUCAAUCGAAAAAAUGACCUUUUCUCCACAACUCUUUAAACUAAUCGAAUAAUUUUGAGACGCUUUUACACUCAGCAAAACAACAAAAGGCGUGGCCCAGGAUAUGGAGAUUAGAUAGUCAUAGAGAUGGCAAGGAUUGAACAACAGAUAUAUGUUUAUAAUAUUAGCCUUUUAAAUUAACACAAACAGUUGCACAUAUUUGACUCUUUUGAUGUCUUAAUUUACACUAAUUAAAUAAUGGAUACCCUGUAAUUAGAAUAUUACAUUAUCAACUUGUUCACAGCUCUCCCUCCUCUCUCUCUCUCUUCAACAUCAUAUCCCUUCCAUUUCAGCCUUCUCUCUCUCUCUCUCUUGUUGGUUGCGUAUGGAAUAGAGCUGUUUUAUAUAUUACAAGUCAGUCAGCGAAUUCCUCUCUAACUCUCUCUCUUUCUAAAGGUACAAUUUUAUUCUGUUGUUCAAUUUCCAACUUGGUGAACUAGGUUUGGUUUCUUGAAGAAGUAGUACAAUAACCUUAAAUCAAGAGUGCAUGUUGUUUGCUUGUGUUUGGUGCAAAUGUGACAGCGGUGGUGGUGUCGAGUAGUAUGUGCAGCCACUACUUGUUGAAGAAGAAGAAGAAGAAGAGGAAGAUGGAGAAUUCCAGGGCGAUUUAACCGACAUAAUCAGAGCCACCGGCGGAGCAGAAACCCCCGCCGCCGCACCGGACUGGCACUUCCCCGCCAACCCGAUCACCUUCUCCACCAACCCGGCCGACGAUUUCGGUGAUCCCUUUGCGCACCUCAGAGAUCCGCUGAUCCAUAUCGAUGCACCGCCGCCGCUGCCAGGGUUCUUCCAUGGCUCCGACGUCAUCAAACCUAGUAGCGUCGAUGACAGCAAUCUAGGUCAUAAAAUUAUUGAUGAUGAGAUGAAGAGACCUCCGAAUAUCUUCUCGAGGAUGCUGCAGAUAUCUCCCACGCCAA